rnacentral:misc_RNA from 1 species
AAGAGUUCAGCACUCCAUUUAUCUUUAACAAGCUUAGCAACUCCAAAGUUUCCUGAUCCAAUAUCUUUCAAUAUCUCGUAGCGAUCCAUCUUUCAAUAUUAAUUGACUUAGAAGAAAAGAAUGGAACAAAAGUCUACAUAUAUAUAGAAAGAGAGAGAGGGAGAGAGAGAAGUGCUUGUGUUAAAAAUUUAUGGUUUCUUGAAUAAUGAAAGAUGAUUGCUUGACUUCUCUUAGCACCGUCCCUUUACUUGCAUGCAUUGAGAAUCUCUAUGGGUUUCAUGACCACGAAUGCAAAAGCUGGAAAAGCCAAUGUGAGGUUGAAGUUGCUGCCCUAUUGGUCUGUCAAAAAUUUAAGUCUUUGGAAUGCUGAG